GACGAACGCUGGCGGCGUGCCUAAUACAUGCAAGUAGAACGCUGAAGAGAGGAGCUUGCUCUUCUUGGAUGAGUUGCGAACGGGUGAGUAACGCGUAGGUAACCUGCCUGGUAGCGGGGGAUAACUAUUGGAAACGAUAGCUAAUACUGCAUAAUAGUAGAUGUUGCAUGACAUUUGCUUAAAAGGUGCAAUUGCAUCACUACCAGAUGGACCUGCGUUGUAUUAGCUAGUUGGUGAGGUAACGGCUCACCAAGGCAACGAUACAUAGCCGACCUGAGAGGGUGAUCGGCCACACUGGGACUGAGACACGGCCCAGACUCCUACGGGAGGCAGCAGUAGGGAAUCUUCGGCAAUGGACGGAAGUCUGACCGAGCAACGCCGCGUGAGUGAAGAAGGUUUUCGGAUCGUAAAGCUCUGUUGUAAGAGAAGAACGAGUGUGAGAGUGGAAAGUUCACAC
rnacentral:rRNA from 1 species